rnacentral:rRNA from 1 species
AUUGAACGCUGGCGGCAUGCCUUACACAUGCAAGUCGAACGGCAGCACGGGAGCAAUCCUGGUGGCGAGUGGCGAACGGGUGAGUAAUAUAUCGGAACGUGCCCAGUAGUGGGGGAUAACCCGGCGAAAGUCGGACUAAUACCGCAUACGACCUACGGGUGAAAGCGGGGGAUCGCAAGACCUCGCGCUAUCGGAGCGGCCGAUAUCAGAUUAGCUUGUUGGUGGGGUAAAGCCUACCAAGGCGACGAUCUGUAGCUGGUCUGAGAGGACGACCAGCCACACUGGGACUGAGACACGGCCCAGACUCCUACGGGAGGCAGCAGUGGGGAAUUUUGGACAAUGGGCGCAAGCCUGAUCCAGCCAUGCCGCGUGCGGGAAGAAGGCCUCGGUUGUAACG